AAUGGGUCAGCGACUUAUAUUCUGUAGCAAGGUUAACCGAAUAGGGGAGCCGAAGGGAAACCGAGUCUUAACUGGGCGUUAAGUUGCAGGGUAUAGACCCGAAACCCGGUGAUCUAGCCAUGGGCAGGUUGAAGGUUGGGUAACACUAACUGGAGGACCGAACCGACUAAUGUUGAAAAAUUAGCGGAUGACUUGUGGCUGGGGGUGAAAGGCCAAUCAAACCGGGAGAUAGCUGGUUCUCCCCGAAAGCUAUUUAGGUAGCGCCUCGUGAAUUCAUCUCCGGGGGUAGAGCACUGUUUCGGCAAGGGGGUCAUCCCGACUUACCAACCCGAUGCAAACUGCGAAUACCGGAGAAUGUUAUCACGGGAGACACACGGCGGGUGCUAACGUCCGUCGUGAAGAGGGAAACAACCCAGACCGCCAGCUAAGGUCCCAAAGUCAUGGUUAAGUGGGAAACGAUGUGGGAAGGCCCAGACAGCCAGGAUGUUGGCUUAGAAGCAGCCAUCAUUUAAAGAAAGCGUAAUAGCUCACUGGUCGAGUCGGCCUGCGCGGAAGAUGUAACGGGGCUAAACCAUGCACCGAAGCUGCGGCAGCGACGCUUAUGCGUUGUUGGGUAGGGGAGCGUUCUGUAAGCCUGUGAAGGUGUGCUGUGAGGCAUGCUGGAGGUAUCAGAAGUGCGAAUGCUGACAUAAGUAACGAUAAAGCGGGUGAAAAGCCCGCUCGCCGGAAGACCAAGGGUUCCUGUCCAACGUUAAUCGGGGCAGGGUGAGUCGACCCCUAAGGCGAGGCCGAAAGGCGUAGUCGAUGGGAAACAGGUUAAUAUUCCUGUACUUGGUGUUACUGCGAAGGGGGGACGGAGAAGGCUAUGUUGGCCGGGCGACGGUUGUCCCGGUUUAAGCGUGUAGGCUGGUUUUCCAGGCAAAUCCGGAAAAUCAAGGCUGAGGCGUGAUGACGAGGCACUACGGUGCUGAAGCAACAAAUGCCCUGCUUCCAGGAAAAGCCUCUAAGCAUCAGGUAACAUCAAAUCGUACCCCAAACCGACACAGGUGGUCAGGUAGAGAAUACCAAGGCGCUUGAGAGAACUCGGGUGAAGGAACUAGGCAAAAUGGUGCCGUAACU
rnacentral:rRNA from 1 species